rnacentral:lncRNA from 1 species
GUUCACAUCCACCCUGCAGUCUAGUCUCGGGACUAUCCCACAUCGAAUGUGCCUGCAGGGGGGUGGCAAACGAAAAACUACGUUUUCAGUCGAAAGUGCCAAAGACCUGUGCUUUUUUUUCCUCUUGCCUCAGGUCGUGUGCAGCAGAGAGGCAGGGUCUGGAAGGAAAGGCGCCCUCCUCUGGCGAAGGGAGAGGAAGAUCUAAAAACCACGGUGUGUAAGGUCUUGCAAGCAAGAGGUGCUUCACCUGUACCUUCAACUCUUGCCAGGUCUACCUGGAGGUAGAAGUCCACGUGGCCAGCUGCAUGGUGCUUACGGUAUGUUUGUGUUACAGUUUUAUAUCACGAAGACUAGGUUACCUCUUGUAACCUCUAGAAGGUAUCCAAAUAAAGGGAAGUGGCUUAAAAAAAAAUUGACCUAGCAUUAAAUUUUCUCUUCUUAGCUGGAAGUAUGCAGUGGGAAAGAGGGUGGGAGAGGUCCCCUGUUCCUGUUAUUCAACCCUAGGUACCCAGCAGGACACCUGUUCCCACUGAAGUCUCUCUCCGGCCCACCCUGUUGUAUAGACCCCAAGAAGGUCAAUCCAAGGCCAAGGGUCUUGCAAGUGAGUCACAUCUGGUCCACAGGAAACACAUAUCCCUGAGUUUACUAAUUCUGGAAGUGCAGGCUAACCCAACCACACAGCAAGAGAUCGCUGGCCCUGCCCUAAAGCAUGGUCGACUCACUCCCACACUGAGUUUCCUGGGAAGCAGCAGUCUCCAUUAGCUGUUUGGGACAUGAGUUAGGCCACCAUCCUCAGUAUUUUCCAACUACAGGGAACAGUAUCAAAUAUCUCCAAGGCUCAAGGGCCCCUUGAAGUCCCUUCACUGGCUUAGAAUUAGAGAGUAGCACCUCCCACCUCCCCCUAGUGGGGAGUAGAGCCAGGCUCCCUACUCUUUUCAUAAUCUUGCUUGUUUUUAUAACUUUCAUCUGACUAUAGGACCCCAAUUGUGGAAUAGGGUCUCAGGACCAUUUCCAUAAAAAUUUGUGCGUGAGGUGGCUGUGAUGGCUGAGGGGUUAAGGCAUUGGACUCGACAUCCAAUGGGGUCUCCCAGUACAAGUUCAGACUCUGCUCACAGCGUGUGUACUUUGGGGCGCCUGGGUGGCUCAGUCAGUUUAGGGUCCAACUUCGGCUCAGGUCGUGAUCUCACAACUCUUGAGUUCAAGCCCCCUUGUCCGGCUCUGUGCUGACAGGUCGGAGCCUGGAGCCUGCUUCAGAUUCUGUGUCUCCCUCCCUCUCUCUGCUCCUCCCCUGCUCACACAGACAGUCUCUCUCUCAAAAUAAAUAAAACAUUAAAAAACUGCAUGGGGUAGAGGUCUGUCUCAUAUUCGCUUUGAUACCUUCGAUAUCUAUUGCACUGACAAUUGUCAAUGAGCAAUUGAACCUAAGAGUCCUAUUCUACCAUCCUCUUUAAUUUCUUAGCUUGAAAGAGUCCUAGCAUUUUGUUUUCUCACUGUAAAUAUGCGUGCACAUAUAUUUACGUGGACAUUUAAGUAUGCAUAGGAUGCAUUGGACCUUUGAAUACAGACUUACUCACUUUAAUUGUAGAUUCAUUGCAAGUGAUGAUUCUGAAAGAUUUAGUACCCUUGUGGACAGAAAUCACUGGGAAAAAAUCCUACAUCUACAUCUUUCCAAAUACACCACAACUACAUUGUGCAUAUUGAGACACUUCAUAUUAAUUACUCCUCAUACAUAUCUUGCCCAAUUUGAUAACUACUAGCUACAUGUAGCGAUUUAAAUUUAAAUGAAAUUUAAAGCUGAUUAAAAUUCAGUUUUUAGCCACAUUUGAAAUGUGGCUAAUGACUACUAUAUUUAGGCAAUGCAGACAGAAUAUUGCCAUCUUCCUAAGAGUUUUGUUGACAGCACUGCCUCAUACAGGGUUUGGCUCAUAGGAGGCACUGAAUAAAUGACAAAUGAAAGUAUGGGUCAAGAAUACCAUAUGAUUAUACUGUCUUAUUUUUAUGAGAAGAUAAAGCUUUUUAGUGCAAUACUACACACCAACUCAACCAUUAAAAACAAUUAAAAACAAAAACCAAAUCUUUACACUGCUACAGCCGCUUUUCUAUUUCACACUUGAAAACCUAUCUGCUUCCUCCUACUUCACCAGAAAAUACUUUACUAUCAAAAUAAUUGCUGAAAAUAUUUGUGGAAAAGUCACUAUUUCCCUCAAAAAACAAAUCACUUUUUUCAGAAUUAUUCAACAAAUGGAAAGGAAUUGUUUUAAAAGCAGUAUUUGUGUUGAAGGAAGAUUCCAUAGAAAACAUUUCUUUGCUGAAAUAAGCAUUUCACUUAUAAUAUUUUUUACAGAGUAGAAAUGACCUAUGGAAAUUACUAAUGGUAUGGGUGUUCAAAUUGUAAAAGUAACCUGGCAUUUCUCCAAGAAGAAAGCAUAACAUAGUAACAGGCUGCUCCACAGUGAGUAAUGAGAGGAAUGAUCACAAUGAAGAUGAUCCCAGGGGCCGCCAGACUGUUGAACAAGAGUCAAGAGAGUCUUCGCUCACUCAUCGUCUAACCAUGGGAUGGAAGCUUCUUGUCCUUGCGCCCUCGUUUCCUUUUUUAUGAAUGGGAAAGAUUGGCCUUCCCUCUUGAAAAACUGCAGCAUUUGGGGAUUUAAAGAACUUUCAGUUAAAAACAUUCUCAGGGCACCUGGGUGGCUCAGUCAGUUAAGUAUCUGACUUCGGCUCAAGUCAUGAUCUCACGGCUGGUGAGUUCAAGACCCACAUCGUGCUCUAUGCUGACACCUCAGAGUCUGGAGCCUGUUUAUGAUUCUGUGUCUCCCUCUCUCUCUGUCCCACCCCUGCUUGCCCUCUGUCUCUGUCUCUCAAAAUGAAUAACGUUAAAAAAAAUUUUUUUAAACAUUCUUUAUUUUCAUGAUCCUCAGUCUUUCUAGCAAGUCUUUAGUGACAAUGACAAAUCCCUGAAAGCUCAAUGCUCUGAAUUGUAACCCCAAGAAACUUAGAGCAGACAGCAAUCUCCAGAGGGUAAAGACCACACCUUAUUUAUUUAUUUAUUUAUUCAUUCAUUCAUUCAUUCAUUCAUUCACUUUUUCUCUCAGCCUAUUGCCUAGCACAGAGGAGGUGCUCAACAAAUGUUCACUGAAUGCAUAAAUGAAUGAAACAAUUCUCUCUCCUUGUUUUGAGAAAGAGUAACAUGUUGUUUAAGAAUUCCUUUGAUUUCAGUGACUACAGAGAGUAUUGUUGGUAAGCACUAUCAACAAAAUAGGUAGGAGGACUUUGAAUAGAACUCUUAUCACAAAAUACAUGCAUUAUGAACUCUUACAUUUGAAAAUUUCUGUAAAUUUGUUUCUGAAAGAAGAGAGAUCUAUCAGUUUUCUAUUUCCCAGUAAAGAUUCUCAUUCUAGACACAACUGCUGAAUUACUUGCAAGAGAUGACAAGUUCCUGAGGCUCAAUUCUGGCAGAGUGGCUCUUUUUGAGUCAUUUCACCUCUAAGAUCUAUGAGAGCAGCUAUUUUGGUCUAUUGAUUUAUAUAAAUCCAGUCAGAAAUCCUGGAGAAAACAAUCUUUUCCCUUCAGUAUCAGCUUUAUUGAGGUACAAUUUACAUACCGUAAAGCUCACCAAUUUUAAGUGUUAUGAUACUGUGAUUUAUAAGAAAUAUGUAUUUGAUCUUUGUCCUCUUUCCUGGCACAGAGGCUCCUAAGACCUUCAGAAUUUCCCAAGUGCCAGAGCAUUAAAAUGUUUUUUGUUUUGUUAAUGAGGCCGGGAGAGGGGCUGAAGGUUGAAUUGUUGCCCAGAACCAAUGAUUUAAUCAAUAGUAUCCAUGUAAUGGAGCCUCCAUAAAAACCAAAAAGCAGCACAGGUUCAGAGUUUCCAGGUUGGUGAACACUUAGAGAUUCUGAGAGAAGUGGCUCACUCAGGACAUGGAGGCUUCAUGCCCUUUCCUCAUACUUUGCCCUUUGCAUCUCUUCCAUCUAGCUGUUACUGAGUUACAUCUUUUAAUAAUAAACUGGUAAUCUAGUUAGUAAACUGUUUCUCCAAGUUAUGUUCUAGCAAAUUAAUUGAACCUGAGGAGGAGGCCAUGGCAACCUUCAGUCUAUAGCAGGUUGUUCAGAAGCCGAAGUGGCAACCUGAACUUGUGAUUUCUGAAGGGGAGAGGAGCGUCUUGCCAUUAGUCCCUUUAAGAACUGAGCCCUUAACAUGUGGGAUCUGAUGCCAUCUCCAGGUAAAUAGGGUCACAACUCAGUUGAAUUGUAGAAUACCCAACUGGUGUGGGAGAAUUGCUUGGUGGUACAGGGGGAAAACACACACAUGUUGGAACUGGUGAUCAGAAUUGUUAAGUAUACAAUUCAGUGAGCUCUGGCAAAUGUAUACAGUUGUGUAAAUCACUAAUAAAAUCAAGAUAUUUUUCCCCUCCCUCCCCCCAAAAAGUUCCAUGCUCCUUUGUAGUUAAUCCCUCCCUCCAAACCCUGGAUCCUAGCAGCUACUGACCUGCUUUUCUGUUUUGCCCUUCUAGAAUUCCAUAUAAAUGGAAUCAUACAAUAUGAAAUUUUUGUUAUCUGUCUUCUUUCACAUAGCAUAAUGCUUUUAAGAUUCAUGUAUGUUUUUCUUUUUUUAUUUUUUAAGUAGGCUCCAUGACCAGCAUGUGGCUUGAACUCAGGACCCUGAGAUCAAGAGUCACACGCUCUACCAACUGAGCCAGCCAGGCACCCCCCCAUGCAUGUUUUUAUAUGAACAUGUAAUUUAUUCCUCUUUAUUGUUCAAUAGUGUUCCAUUGCAUGGAUACAUAAUUUGUUUCUCUACAAGUUGAUGGACACUCUAGUUUUUGGCUAUUAUAAGGAAAAUGUAUGAAUAUAUAUGUUCAAGGGUUUUUUUGUGUGUGUAUGUAUAUUCUUGGAUAAGCACCCAGAUGUGGGAUCUUUGCUCAUAUGGUUUAUGUAUUUUUAACCUUAUUUUUUCAAAAAUUCAUGAAAUAGUUUUCCAAAUUGGCCAUAUUAUUUUGCAUUUCCAUCUGCAAGGUAUGAGAGACCCAGUAUUCUACAUUCUUGUCAACAUGUUGCCAACAUAUUGUCAAUUUUUUUUUAAUUUUGGCUUUUUGUGUGCAUAGUGGUAUAUAACUAUAGUUCGACUGGGAAUUGUUAAUGAUGAAUGGUAUGGAGCAUCCUUUUAUGUGCUUAUUUCCAAUUUCUAUGUCUUCUUUCAGAAGUGGCUGUUUAAAAACGUUUGCCAAUUUUUUAAAAUAGAUUCUUUUUGUCUUCUAAUUAUUGAAUUGUAAGAAUUAUUUUAUAUCCUGGAUACAAGUUCUGUAUCAGAUAUGUAUUCUGUAAAUAUUUUCUCCCCAUAUUUG